rnacentral:rRNA from 1 species
AGGCAGCAGUGGGGAAUAUUGGGCAAUGGAGGGAACUCUGACCCAGCGACGCCGCGUGCGGGAUGAAGGCCUUCGGGUUGUAAACCGCUUUCAGCAAGGAAGAAGCGAAAGUGACGGUACUUGCAGAAGAAGCACCGGCUAACUAUGUGCCAGCAGCCGCGGUAAUACAUAGGGUGCAAGCGUUGUCCGGAAUUAUUGGGCGUAAAGAGCUCGUAGGUGGUUCGUCACGUCGGAUGUGAAAAUCUGGGGCUUAACCCCAGACCUGCAUUCGAUACGGGCGAGCUAGAGUGUGGUAGGGGAGACUGGAAUUCCUGGUGUAGCGGUGGAAUGCGCAGAUAUCAGGAGGAACACCAAUGGCGAAGGCAGGUCUCUGGGCCAUUACUGACACUGAGGAGCGAAAGCGUGGGGAGCGAA